rnacentral:pre_miRNA from 1 species
GAGUGUGGUGCUUGAUCAUACCACUGAUAGACAUGGAUCAGUUGUAUCAUCAAUGCAUCACACUCAC